rnacentral:lncRNA from 1 species
CAUAUUAAUCAAUUAACAUGCAUACAAUACAAUAUAACCUUUAUAUCAUACAUUUUAAUGCAUGAACAUGUUAACCUAUGGUGGGAUUUUAAAUCUAUAUGACAUUCAAAAUGCACAUACAAAUUUAAAGUAAUUUAAUCAUACAUCACAUGCAUAAAUAAAAAAAAAAAACACCCUAAAAUGGACUGAUUUUUGGCUCCUAAAUUAAGCUAAGUACUAAAUUAUUACAUAAUUAAUUUGGUGUAGUACAGAACCACUCCCAAAAACUUCGAACCGGCUGAAAAACCAACCGAAACCGCUUGAACCGGCCCAAAAACCAAAUUUAUUGGCUUGAACCGGCCCAAUUAAC